GUGCUCUCUAUCUUCUGUC
rnacentral:snRNA from 1 species